UGCUAGUUGCACGAGUUUAGACUCGUGGCGAAAGCUCAGUAACACGUGGUCAAACUACCCUACGAAGACCCAUAACCUCGGGAAACUGAGGCUAAUAGGUCAUAGGAGAGUCACGCUGGAAUGCCGACUCUCCCAAACGCUCAGGCGUCGUAGGAUGUGGCUGCGGCCGAUUAGGUAGACGGUGGGGUAACGGCCCACCGUGCCGAUAAUCGGUACGGGUUGUGAGAGCAAGAACCCGGAGACGGAAUCUGAGACAAGAUUCCGGGCCCUACGGGGCGCAGCAGGCGCGAAACCUUUACACUGCACGCAAGUGCGAUAAGGGGACCCCAAGUGCGAGGGCAUAUAGUCCUCGCUUUUUCCGACCGUAAGGUGGUCGGCGAAUAAGGGCUGGGCAAGACCGGUGCCAGCCGCCGCGGUAAUACCGGCAGCCCAAGUGAUGACCGAUAUUAUUGGGCCUAAAGCGUCCGUAGCCGGCCAUGAAGGUUCAUCGGGAAAUCCGCCAGCUCAACUGGCGGGCGUCCGGUGAAAACCACAUGGCUUGGGACCGGAAGGCUCGAGGGGUACGUCCGGGGUAGGAGUGAAAUCCCGUAAUCCUGGACGGACCACCGAUGGCGAAAGCACCUCGAGAAGACGGAUCCGACGGUGAGGGACGAAAGCUAGGGUCUCGAACCGGAUUAGAUACCCGGGUAGUCCUAGCUGUAAACGAUGCUCGCUAGGUGUGGCACAGGCUACGAGCCUGUGCUGUGCCGUAGGGAAGCCGAGAAGCGAGCCGCCUGGGAAGUACGUCCGCAAGGAUGAAACUUAAGGAAUUGGCGGGGGAGCACUACAACCG
rnacentral:rRNA from 1 species